AGAGUUUGAUCAUGGCUCAGAACGAACGUUAGCGGCGCGCCUAACACAUGCAAGUCGAGCGAGAAGGGAGCAAUCCCAGUAAAGCGGCGCACGGGUGAGUAACACGUAGGUAAUCUAUCUCGAGGUGGUGGAUAACCUUCCGAAAGGAGGGCUAAUACAGCAUGGGACCACGUCUUCGAAAGAGGAUGAGGUAAAAGCGGGCCUCUAUACAUAAGCUCGCGCCACGAGAUGAGCCUGCGGCCCAUCAUGGUAGUUGGUAGGGUAAAGGCCUACCAAGCCGAAGACGGGUAGCUGGUCUGAGAGGAUGAUCAGCCACACUGGAACUGAGACACGGUCCAGACUCCUACGGGAGGCAGCAGUGGGGAAUCUUGCGCAAUGGGCGAAAGCCUGACGCAGCGACGCCGCGUGAGUGAUGAAGGCCUUCGGGUUGUAAAGCUCUGUGGAGGGGGACGAAUAAGGGUCGGCGAAUACCCGGCUCGAUGACGGUACCCCUUUAGCAAGCACCGGCUAACUCUGUGCCAGCAGCCGCGGUAAGACAGAGGGUGCAAACGUUGUUCGGAAUUACUGGGCGUAAAGCGCGUGUAGGCUGCUCGGAAAGUCGGAUGUGAAAGCCCUGGGCUCAACCUAGGAAGUGCAUUCGAAACUUCCGAGCUGGAGUGCUGGAGAGGAAGGCGGAAUUCUCGGUGUAGAGGUGAAAUUCGUAGAUAUCGAGAGGAACACCGGUGGCGAAGGCGGCCUUCUGGACAGCUACUGACGCUGAGACGCGAAAGCGUGGGGAGCAAACAGGAUUAGAUACCCUG
rnacentral:rRNA from 1 species